GCUCAGGAUGCCAACUUGACAACAACUGACAUUCAAACCAGGAGGGACACCUUGUUUCCUGCCCUCCCCCACCAAAACACUGUAUUACAGCAGGGGCCAAAUCUGCAGUGUUUCUUCUUUGGCAGGGCUGGGAUGUGUUCUGCUGUGAGGAGGACUUGCAAGUUGGCUCCAGCCCCACAUGGCACCACUGCACCCCAAAAACUGCCUUGGUAAAACAGCAUCUGACACUACAGCUAAGAAAGAAAAAGAAGAAAAUAAAAGAAAAAAUGACAACCCACCUAUGUGUGAGCAUGUGGAAACCUCUAAUAGAGAACACGCUUCAGGCAUCAAGUUAAUCUCGGUUUAUUGCAUACAACUGAUUUAUCUUCAUUUAUAAAUGAGUGUUUUUCCAACAGCAGAUACAGACUAUUUCAAUGUUUGAACACUGUUAAAGCCACUGGGAAGAGACAUUAAAUGAGACUUUUCAAUCAGUCAUUUUAUCUUUUUCAGGUCACAUUGCGAUAGACGUUUCCAACAAGAGGGCUAAUCAGACUAAAUUCAGAAAAUACAUUUUUAUUGAUUUGAUGUUGGGGUUUUUGCUUGUUUGUUUGCUUGCUUGUUUGAAACAGUCUCUUCUCAAGCAAGUUUAGGGGUUGGUGGCUCCACAGCUAAAGACUUACAGUUGCACAGAUCCCAAAGCAGAGAAGAGAAACUGCCUCCAAUGCUAUGCCUAAAAUGACUAAUGAAACAGAGUCAGGUCUCAGUUGGAGCCACAAAGCAUUCCACAAAACAAAUUGUUACAAUAGGCCACUAGACAAAUACCUAUUAGUCUGGUCCUACAGAAUAUAUGAAUUCACAGAAACUCUCCCAAUAAAAUAUAUUUCCAUUGUGAAUUAGUGCAUUAAGUUCUAUACCUCAGAAUACUUUUACAUAAACCUGCAAUUAAAACAUGUAUUAUUUGAUUUAACCGGAAAAGAAAAAGUAUUUGAUUUUUAAUCUCAGAGUUAAAUCUGCAGACUUAAUCUCAGAGGACUGUGCACAGAAUAAAAUUCCUUGGUAACAGAAGAUUGUCCAAAAGCACUCUUAGAAAUCCCCCUGAGAAAUAUAGUUAAAAUUUCUAGAGAGAAGCCCAAGUUAUCUAAAGGACUUGAAAAGCCAAGCAACCCUGCUGGAGCAAUGUUAGAGCACAUCUUAUUGAAUAGAAAACAUUUCUCUGCACGUUAAGUUGUAUUGCCUUUGGCAGAAACUCUUCAGCUGCAAAUUUGUCCAAGGAAUGACAUACAGUACACAUCAGAGGAGUAAUGAAGGAAAGAGGCUUAGAUGGGCACUUUGCAGCUGACGGGGAGCUGUUAUUGAGCCUUGUCUGCUGCAUUUAGCAAAGGGGGAAAAAAAACCCAACCGAAAUAGAGGGACCAUCUUUGUGUGUCCCCAGCUCUUACUACCAUCUCUUUAAAAUAAAGAAUUAAAUAAAUAGUUUUAAAAAUAGCCAUCUGACAAGCAAAGCCUAGCCAGAGGGUCAAAAAUGAAGAUCCUGGGAAAGGUCAAGUUUAAUCUCUACCCACGAUGCCCUAGUGCAUCCCUCACAACAGCUGACUAACAAAAGGGGCUCAGCACUGUGACUGACAGAAUUCUUAAUUGUAUCCACUCAUUCAUGACAAUUUGAUUAAAAUAUUACGCCAAAGUCUCACCCCCUGUUUGCUUCGAUCCUCCAAAUCUAAUUUUGAAUUUUCAGAAAGGAGAUUACCUCCACAAGCAUGACUGGGAUGCUAUUAACUUCUACUUAAUCUUUAUUACUGAUGUGAAUUUAACAUAUGUAUGGCUUCGUCUCGCUCCUGUUGUUUUCUCUCUAAAGUAACGUCUAGGCAAUAUACAAGCGGCGGACAUUAAUUUUCACUUUGAUAUUCUGUCAUACCAAAGCUCAUACUUUCAUAUGAAAAUUUAAAGAUGUACUGUCUUAAUACCAUGGCACAAUUAGACUGCAUUAAAAAAAAAAAAAACAACAAACCAGACACGGACUUGCUUCCUCUUGUCCCCACCAAAGAAAAGAACAAAGCCUGGCUGAACAGAUGUCAAAGUAUUAUAACUUUUCACUGUUAUCUCCAGCUAUAUCCCCUUCAUAAAAGGAGUUGUUCCAAGGAUUGACAAGAACUGGUAAAUUCUACUUAAUGCAAAUAAUGCAGUUAUGAAGUAGUCAAGGAAGCAGUCAAAAUUUCUAACCAAUUUGGAUUAUUCUCAAAUUUAUGAAACUAGUAAUUGAAUAUGGCCAUUGUUACCUGUGUCCCCAUUUCACAAUAUAUUUGAAUAAAAUAUAUGAUCUAAUCUUCAAGAUUUUUACUCUACUCUCACACUCCUUUUCUCCCCACAAGUAACACAACAAAUUGACACAACCAGCUGCAAUUAUGUUUAUAGGAAUAUUCACAAACCUAUUGAACAUGAAACGUUUCUAAUAAAUAUUCUGCUCUGGAAAAGAAUUCCACCAAAAAUGUUAUUUUAUUUUCUUACCUUUCCCCCAGAGGAUUAGAAAAAUAUAUUUUGGGUAUCUUCUUUUGCAAAAUAUUUUUCUGUCAUUUAUAUCCGUGUCUACUUACUGUUAUUGUAAAAAGAGAAACAAUAAAUUAAUCUUCCUAAAUUAA